UACGGGGGGAGCAAGCGUUGUUCGGAAUUACUGGGCGUAAAGCGUGCGCAGGCGGCUUUGCAAGACAGAUGUGAAAUCCCCGGGCUUAACCUGGGAACUGCAUUUGUGACUGCAUGGCUGGAGUGCGGCAGAGGGGGAUGGAAUUCCUGGUGUAGCGGUGAAAUGCGCAGAUAUCAGGAAGAACACCAAUGGCGAAGGCAGCUCUCUGGGACGGUACUGACGCUGAGACGCGAAAGCGUGGGGAGCGAACAGG
rnacentral:rRNA from 1 species